rnacentral:rRNA from 1 species
GAUGAACGCUGGCGGCGUGCCUAAUGCAUGUAAGUCGAGCGAACGGACGAGAAGCUUGCUUCUCUGAUGUUAGCGGCGGACGGGUGAGUAACACGUGGAUAACCUACCUAUAAGACUGGGAUAACUUCGGGAAACCGGAGCUAAUACCGGAUAAUAUUUUGAACCGCAUGGUUCAAAAGUGAAAGACGGUCUUGCUGUCACUUAUAGAUGGAUCCGCGCUGCAUUAGCUAGUUGGUAAGGUAACGGCUUACCAAGGCAACGAUGCAUAGCCGACCUGAGAGGGUGAUCGGCCACACUGGAACUGAGACACGGUCCAGACUCCUACGGGAGGCAGCAGUAGGGAAUCUUCCGCAAUGGGCGAAAGCCUGACGGAGCAACGCCGCGUGAGUGAUGAAGGUCUUCGGAUCGUAAAACUCUGUUAUUAGGGAAGAACAUAUGUGUAAGUAACUGUGCACAUCUUGACGGUACCUAAUCAGAAAGCCACGGCUAACUACGUG